AGGGCUGGCUGGAAGUGGGCUGUCAGAAAGGAAGCCCCCGUGGCCACCGCGACAGUUUCCAUUGACCCCUUUUUUUGAUCCUCCUGAUAACAGAAUUUUCAGGGACAUCCUUCGAGGCCAGAUUCCCAGCCCCUGCACCAGGACCUCCGCUUCAGGGGGAGAAGAGAAGAGGCAGCAGUUUUCCUCGUGGUGAUGUGCAGAGGCCCAGGCAGGGGUGGAGACAGGGUCACAUAGUGUGGCUCCCUUCUGGGGUUCCAGCACCCAGUCCGGGAGGAAAAUCAGAUGUCUCAGCAAACAACUGGAGCUGUGGGCGCUCUGCCUCGAGUGGAACAGCUUAGGUGACCUGGCCACAGAGGCUCCCAAAAAGAGGAAGCUGG
rnacentral:lncRNA from 1 species